UUAUGGCUCAGGAUGAACGCUGGCGGCGUGCUUAACACAUGCAAGUCGAACGGAGUUUUAACGGAAGUUUCGGAUGGAAGUUAGAAACUAGUGGCGGACGGGUGAGUAACGCGUGGGUAACCUGCCUCAUACAGGGGGGAUAACAGUUAGAAAUGACUGCUAACACCGCAUAACAUAGCGAAACCGCAUGAUUUUGCUAUCAAAUAUUUAUAGGUAUGAGAUGGGCCCGCGUCUGAUUAGCUAGUUGGUGGGGUAAAAGCCUACCAAGGCGACGAUCAGUAGCCGGCUUGAGAGAGUGACCGGCCACAUUGGGACUGAGACACGGCCCAAACUCCUACGGGAGGCAGCAGUGGGGAAUAUUGGACAAUGGGGGAAACCCUGAUCCAGCGAACCGCCGCGUGAGUGAAGAAGUAUUUCGGUAUGUAAAGCUCUAUCAGCAGGGAAGAUAAUGACAGUACCUGACUAAGAAGCCCCGGCUAACUACGUGCCAGCAGCCGC
rnacentral:rRNA from 1 species